rnacentral:rRNA from 1 species
GACGUAGGGCGCGAGCGUUGUCCGGAUUUAUUGGGCGUAAAGAGCUCGUAGGCGGCUUGUCGCGUCGACUGUGAAAUCCCGCGGCUCAACUGCGGGUCUGCAGUCGAUACGGGCAGGCUAGAGUUCGGUAGGGGAGACUGGAAUUCCUGGUGUAGCGGUGAAAUGCGCAGAUAUCAGGAGGAACACCCGGUGGCGAAGGCGGCUCUCGCGG